GACGAACCGUGCGAACGUUGUUCGGAAUUACUGGGCGUAAAGGGCGCGUAGGCGGCCAACUAAGUCGGACGUGAAAUCCCAAGGCUUAACCUUGGAACUGCGUCGGAUACUGGAUGGCUUGAAUUCGGGAGAGGGACGCAGAAUUCCAGGUGUAGCGGUGAAAUGCGUAGAUAUCUGGAGGAAUACCGGUGGCGAAGGCGGCAUCCUGGACCGACAUUGACGCUGAACGGCGAAAGCUAGGGGAGCAAACGGG
rnacentral:rRNA from 1 species